GGUUCUUUGAAGGAAAGUGAAGUGAAGAAUCUUACCUGCCCAGUGAUAAAAAUUUAACGGCCGCGGUAAUUUAACUGUGCGAAGGUAGCAUAAUCAAUUGUCUAUUAAUUGUAGACUGGAAUGAAUGGUAUAACUARAGAUUGGUUGUCUUAAAGUUAAUUUAAAAUUUUCGUUUUCUUGAAGAGGAGAAAAUGUGUUAAGGGGACGAGAAGACCCUAUUGAGCUUUAUAAACAAUAGUAUAUUUAUGUGUUGUGAAUUAUAUCUAGAAAAAUAUUUUGCUGGGGCGGUGUAAUUAGUAAAUAAACAAUUUUUAAUAAAAAAUAUAAUUAAUUGAUAUUAGGAUCCAGUAUAAUUGAUUUCAAGACUAAGUUACUGUAGGGAUAACAGCGUGAUAUUAUCUUGAAGUACAAAUUUAUGAUAAAGAUUGCGACCUCGAUGUUGGUUUAGGGAACUUAUUUGGUGCAAAUGCUAAAUUAAGUAGUCUGUUCGACDRUUAAAUUCCUAUAUGAUCURGUAAAA
rnacentral:rRNA from 1 species